rnacentral:lncRNA from 1 species
GAACCUUGGGAGAGUUUAGCUGGAUUCUCUGCUCUGGGAUCUCUCACAGGACUGCAAUCAAGGUGAUUGCUGGGCUAGAGUCUCAUCUGAAAAUUCAACUGGGCAAGUCUCCACUUCCAAACUCACUUUUGUGAUUGCUGGCAAGAUGUGGUUGUUUUUAAGGUAUUGACCAGAGGGUCUCAGUUCCUAGUUGGGUGUUGGUCAGAAGCCACUCUCCGUAUCUUUCCACUUGAGCCUCUUACAAGUGUCAACUUGCUUCAUCAAAACCAACAAGGGAGAGAGUCUACUAGUGAGAUGGAAGUCAGAAUCUUUUGUAAUUUAAUAAUGGAAGAUAUGUCUCCUCAAUGAUAUAGGAUUUUAUUAUUUAGAAGCAAGGAUCACAAGAGGAAAAAUUAUACAAGACUUGGAAUGUCAGGAGGUGGAAAUUUGGGACCAUCUUAGAAGCUCUGGACUGUACCAUUUUAUUCUGCACUUCAAAUGGAUCAAGGCCAGUUUCCAAAUCAGUCUUCUGUGUGAUAAUUAAUGCCUGAUGGCUACAUGAAAGCAUAACUUGAAUGAGGAUUUUUCUGAAAAUACUGUUUUUGAAGUGGCUGAAAGGAAAAUCAUAAUUAGCCUUCAAAACUAUUAGAAGACAGUCCAUUCUCACGCUGCCAUAAAGAACUUCCCAAGACUGGAAAAUUUAUAAAGGAAAGAGGUUUAAUUGACUCACAGUUUCUUAUGGCUGGGGAGACAACAGGUAACUUACAAUUAUGGCAGAAGGCAAAGGAAAGGCAGGCGUCUUCUUCACAAAGCGGCAGGAGAGAGAAUGAAUGAAUGAGGAACUUGGCCAAGCACAUAUAAAACCAUCAGAUCUCGUGAGAACUCACUCACUUCAUGAGAACAGCAAGGGAAAAACUACCCCCAUGAUCCAGUUACCUCCACCUGGUCUCUCCCUUGACAUCACCUUCGAUAUAUCAUUUGUAUGUCUCUGGGCCUCAACUUUUUCCCAAUGAAAAUUCAGCCACUCAGAUUGAAUAAAGAAAAUGUGGUACAGAUACACCAUGGAAUACUACGCAGCUAUAAAAAAAGAAUAAGAUCCUGUUCUUUGCAGGAACAUGGAUGAAGCUGGAGGCCAUUAUCCUUAGCAAACUAAUGCAGGAACAGAAAACCAAAUACCUCAUUUUCUCACUUUUGAGUGUGAACUGAAUUAUGAGAACACAUGGACACAAAAAGGGGAACAACAGACACUGGGGCCUACCUGAAGUGGAUGCCGGGAGGAAGGAAAGGAUCAGGAAAAAUAACUAUUGGGUACUAGGCUUAGUACCUGGGCAAAAUAAUUUGUACAACUACCCCCCAUGACAUGGGUUUACCUAUAUAUCGAGCCUACACGUGUACCCUGAACCUAAAAUGCAAGUUAAAUACAUAAAAUAAAAUAAAAAUAGACAAUCAGCCACUAAUUACAUAAUUGUUCCCAAAUAUGUCAUUGUAAUUUUUUUUAGUUAGUUCUUUUAAC